rnacentral:rRNA from 1 species
AUUGAACGCUGGCGGCAGGCCUAACACAUGCAAGUCGAGCGGCAGCGGGAAAGUAGCUUGCUACUUUUGCCGGCGAGCGGCGGACGGGUGAGUAAUGCCUGGGGAUCUGCCCAGUCGAGGGGGAUAACUACUGGAAACGGUAGCUAAUACCGCAUACGCCCUACGGGGGAAAGCAGGGGACCUUCGGGCCUUGCGCGAUUGGAUGAACCCAGGUGGGAUUAGCUAGUUGGUGAGGUAAUGGCUCACCAAGGCGACGAUCCCUAGCUGGUCUGAGACGAUGAUCAGCCACACUGGAACUGGGACACGGUCCAGCCUCCUACGGGAGGCAGAAUUGGGGAAUAUUGCACAAUGGGGGAAACCCUGAUGCAGCCCUGCCGCGUGUGUGAAUAAGGCCUUCGGGUUGUAAAGCACUUUCAGCGAGGAGGAAAGGUUGGUAGCUAAUAACUGCCAGCUGUGACGUUACUCGCAGAAGAAGCACCGGCUAACUCCGUGCCAGCAGCCGCCGUAA